rnacentral:rRNA from 1 species
UACGGAGGGUGCAAGCGUUAUCCGGAUUUACUGGGUUUAAAGGGUGCGUAGGCGGGCAGGUAAGUCCGUGGUGAAAUCCCCGAGCUUAACUCGGGAACUGCCAUGGAUACUAUUUGUCUUGAAUAUUGUGGAGGUAAGCGGAAUAUGUCAUGUAGCGGUGAAAUGCUUAGAUAUGACAUAGAACACCAAUUGCGAAGGCAGCUUACUACACAGUUAUUGACGCUGAGGCACGAAAGCGUGGGGAUCAAACAGG